GCGCGAAAACUUUACAAUGCUGGCAACAGCGAUAAGGGAACCUCGAGUGCCAGGUUACAAAUCUGGCUGUCGAGAUGCCUAAAAAGCAUUUCAUAGCAAGGGCCGGGCAAGACCGGUGCCAGCCGCCGCGGUAACACCGGCGGCUCGAGUGGUAACCGUUAUUAUUGGGUCGAAAGGGUCUGUAGCCGGCCGGAUAAGUCUCUUGAGAAAUCUGGCAGCUUAACUGUCAGGCUUUCCGGAGAUACUGUCUGGCUCGAGGCCGGGAGAGGUGAGAGGUACUUCAGGGGUAGGGGUGAAAUCUUGUAAUCCUUGAAGGACCACCAGUGGCGAAGGCGUCUCACCAGAACGGACCUGACGGCAAGGGACGAAAGCUAGGGGCACGAACC
rnacentral:rRNA from 1 species